UCGCCCUUUUUCGCUUCUUAGAUAUCUCUUUAGCUUCAGUUGCUCCGAAUUCUUUUAGGUUUUUGAUAGGGUUCCUCUCUCUUUGCCACGUAGUUGAGGUUCAGCCAUCCCUCUCCCUGUUUAGGCACUUUUAUACCUUCAAACGUCACCCUUCGGUGAAGGACUGGUGGUAUUUCUCCCCUCAGUUCGGCAAGAAGGGGUUGCUGAAAGGGGCUCCCUCUUCAAUCCACAACUGGAAGGGGAAAUACCUCUUCGUCCACUGC
rnacentral:lncRNA from 1 species